rnacentral:rRNA from 1 species
AGCGAACGCUGGCGGCAGGCUUAACACAUGCAAGUCGAGCGGGCACUUCGGUGGUCAGCGGCAGACGGGUGAGUAACGCGUGGGAACAUACCUUUUGGUUCGGAACAACACAGGGAAACUUGUGCUAAUACCGGGAUAAGCCCUUACGGGGAAAGAUUUAUCGCCGAAAGAUUGGCCCGCGUCUGGAUUAGCUUGUUGGUGAGGUAACGGCUCACCAAGGCGACGAUCAGUAGCUGGUCNGAGAGGAUGAUCAGCCACAUUGGGACUGAGACACGGCCCAAACUCCUACGGGAGGCAGCAGUGGGGAAUAUUGGACAAUGGGCGCAAGCCUGAUCCAG